rnacentral:rRNA from 1 species
GUCGACCGCCUGGGGAGUACGGCCGCAAGGUUAAAACUCAAAUGAAUUGACGGGGGCCCGCACAAGCGGUGGAGCAUGUGGUUUAAUUCGAUGCAACGCGAAGAACCUUACCUGGUCUUGACAUCCACAGAACUUUCCAGAGAUGGAUUGGUGCCUUCGGGAACUGUGAGACAGGUGCUGCAUGGCUGUCGUCAGCUCGUGUUGUGAAAUGUUGGGUUAAGUCCCGCAACGAGCGCAACCCUUAUCCUUUGUUGCCAGCGGUCCGGCCGGGAACUCAAAGGAGACUGCCAGUGAUAAACUGGAGGAAGGUGGGGAUGACGUCAAGUCAUCAUGGCCCUUACGACCAGGGCUACACACGUGCUACAAUGGCGCAUACAAAGAGAAGCGACCUCGCGAGAGCAAGCGGACCUCAUAAAGUGCGUCGUAGUCCGGAUUGGAGUCUGCAACUCGACUCCAUGAAGUCGGAAUCGCUAGUAAUCGUGGAUCAGAAUGCCACGGUGAAUACGUUCCCGGGCCUUGUACACACCGCCCGUCACACCAUGGGAGUGGGUUGCAAAAGAAGUAGGUAGCUUAACCUUCGGGAGGGCGCUUACCACUUUGUGAUUCAUGACUGGGGUGAAGUCGUAACAAGGUAACCGUAGGGGAACCUGCGGUUGGAUCACCUCCUU